GUGAUACGUUUUACUGUUUUGAAACACUAAUAUUUGUGUUCAGCAAAGCCUCCCGAGUAUAACAGUAUGUACAGGUUUUAUAGUGUUUUUGAAAGUUACAGGGUCAAAUAUAAGGCUUGAUUUUCCAAUUUGCCAGAUUGGUUAUGUUGCCAUUGAGAGCGUAUGGUAGCCCAGGAAUGAGAAUUACCCCCAUGAUGGCAUACCAUUUGCAAAAGAAGACAACCUAAGGUAUUGCAAAUGGGG